rnacentral:rRNA from 1 species
ACUCAAAGGAAUUGACGGGGACCCGCACAAGCGGUGGAGCAUGUGGUUUAAUUCGAUACUAACCGAAGAACCUUACCCAGGUUUGACAUCGAUCGCAAAGCGUUGAAAGGCGCUCCUCCCCCACAAGGGGACGUGAAGACAGAUGUUGCAUGGCUGUCGUCAGCUCGUGCCGUGAGGUGUACGGUUAAGUCCGCCAACGAGCGCAACCCACGUUCUGUGUUACCAGCGAGUAAAGUCGGGCACUCACAGGAGACCGCCGGUGUAAGCCGGAGGAAGGUGUGGAUGACGUCAAGUCAGCAUGGCUCUUACGCCUGGGGCUACACACAUGCUACAAUGGGCGCAACAAAGGGCAGCAAUACCGCGAGGUGGAGCCAAUCCCAAAAAUACGCCCCCAGUUCAGAUUGUAGUCUGCAACUCGACUACAUAAAGUCGGAAUCGCUAGUAAACGCAGGUCAGCUAUACUGCGUUGAAUACGUUCCCGGGUCUUGCACACACCGCCCGU